rnacentral:rRNA from 1 species
AUUGAACGCUGGCGGCAGGCCUAACACAUGCAAGUCGAACGAGUGGCGGACGGGUGAGUAAUGUCUGGGAAACUGCCUGAUGGAGGGGGAUAACUACUGGAAACGGUAGCUAAUACCGCAUACCCUCGGAUGUGCCCAGAUGGGAUUAGCUAGUAGGUGGGGUAACGGCUCACCUAGGCGACGAUCCCUAGCUGGUCUGAGAGGAUGACCAGCAACAUUGGAACUGAGACACGGUCCAGACCCCUACGGGAGGCAGCAGUGGGGAAGAUGGCACAAUGGGCGCAAGCCUGAUGCAGCCAUGCCGCGUGUAUGAAGAAGGCCUUCGGGUUUUAAAGUACUUUCAGCGGGGAGGCGUUACCCGCAGAGAAAGCACCGGCUAACUCCGUGCCAGCAGCCGCGGUAAUUC